GAGGCUCCCUUCUGGCGAGCCGCCAUGUUCUUUAUUGAAUGUGGCGGGGAACCAGGACUUUUACUUUGAAAAAAUUAGAGUGUUUAAAGCAGGCAUUUGCUUGAAUAGAUUAGCAUGGAAUAAUGGAAUAGGACCUUGGUUCUAUUUUGUUGGUUUCUAGGACCUCGGUAAUGAUUAAUAGGGAUAGUUGGGGGCAUUAGUAUUUAGUAGCUAGAGGUGAAAUUCUUGGAUUUACGAAAGACUAACUUCUGCGAAAGCAUUUGCCAAGGAUGUUUUCAUUAAUCAAGAACGAAAGUUAGGGGAUCGAAGACGAUCAGAUACCGUCGUAGUCUUAACCAUAAACUAUGCCGACUAGGGAUCAGACGAUGUUAAUUUUACUGACUCGUUUGGCACCUUAUGAGAAAUCAAAGUUUUUGGGUUCCGGGGGGAGUAUGGUCGCAAGGCUGAAACUUAAAGGAAUUGACGGAAGGGCACCACCAGGAGUGGAGCCUGCGGCUUAAUUUGACUCAACACGGGGAAACUCACCAGGUCCAGACAUAGUAAGGAUUGACAGAUUGAGAGCUCUUUCUUGAUUCUAUGGGUGGUGGUGCAUGGCCGUUCUUAGUUGGUGGAGUGAUUUGUCUGCUUAAUUGCGAUAACGAACGAGACCUUAACCUGCUAAAUAGUUAUGCCAACUUUUGUUGGUAGACAACUUCUUAGAGGGACUGUCGACGAUUAGUCGACGGAGGUUUGAGGCAUUAACAGGUCUGUGAUGCCUUAAAUGUCCUGGCCGCACCG
rnacentral:rRNA from 1 species